CACUCAACCACCAUAUCAAGAAUUCUCACCCCUUAUGACCAAAUGGUGAAAUUCCAUAGCAAGGGACUCUUCAUUCUUAACAGACUCACCAAGUUCUAAGAAAAGAAUCCAGUGGUAUAAUAGUGCAUAAGCGCAGACUUGCCAGCAUGGCCAAGAUAGCCAGAAGGAUACAGAAACCACCAGGAAGGUGGGAGCCAGGUGGGAGCCUGAAGGAUUUAGGACAAGACUUUCAUACAGUUCUUCUGUCUUUACUGAGGUAGCAUUAUAAUAUUACAGAAUGUGGAUAAAUAAUAUUAGAGCCUUGUAAUAGGUAUUCCUUUAAUCAUCAUGAGAAACAUAAAGGUUAACUUAAUGGUACCUAGACUCAAGGUACUUGGGUUAAAAUCCAAAUUGCAUUAAUUUCUGGCUGUAGGACUUCAGAGCAGCUCAUCUCCUCAGACUCCUCAACUGUGAAAUGUGAUAAUUACAGAACUUCUCUUAUAGGACCACUGCCAAGAUUAAAUAUUUAAGACAUGGAAUAUGCUUGAAGUAUUACCUGAUACCAAGAUGCAGAUCAAGAAGCAGAACAGAAUAAGUGCCCAAGCACAGAUCUGAAAUCAUGUACUUGCACUCAGACCAAGAGAAAGUCAUGAAGAACACCCAUACAGAUAAUAUUUGAAAUGCUUCAGGUGGCUCAUGGACUAUGUGAUUAAGUGCUCUCUGGGAGUGUCAUAGUCUUAGACCAUGCCAUGAGAUGGCAUGACAUGAAGGAACUGGAAGAUACAUUCAGGCCUGAUACCAGAAGAUGCAAGUGCUGCUCUCUUCCACGUGUGGGGAGGGGUACAGCAAACCAUCAGAGAGGACAAAGGUGCCCAGCACCAUUACAGUAUGAUGCUGACCGAAGUCAUGCCUUUUGAUCAUCUGUAAGGAGAACGUGUGUGGAAAAGAAAGAAAGGAAAAUCUUUGGUGAAGGAGGGAAAAAGAACCCUGCUGUUUCACUAGGACCUUCUGGGUGCCUGGAACACCCCGCCCCCCGCAGCACAGCUGCCACAGCAGCUGAAGAGCGGGGUUGUGCAGGGAAUGAGGAUGGAAAAGUGUCGAUAGCAUUAUCUUCCUGUUGUUAAACUCCUGAAGCUGCAUUUUUUCACCCAUUUUCUGACAUCAGUAUUUAUUGAUCUAUUGACACCAGCAGUGUAUCAAUAUAAUAUGGACAAAAUAUAGAUACUAGAUACUUGUAGCAAGUUUCUGUUUAAUCACCCUGGGAGAAACAGUGGAGACAAGAAUGGAACCAGGCUUCAAACGACCCCAGGACUAAAAUUAGGCUAUGUUCUUCCUGGCUCUCUUUCCUCAGGACAGGACAUUCAUCCCCUCUGUCCCUCUUUAAUGUGAUAUGAGAAUAAUUUUUCUUCCAUGAUCAUUGUAUUCUCAAUGUAUUCUCAAAUAACUUGAAAAGCACAUGGAACACAGAGAGCUGUGUCUGGUACAUGUUAAUCCCUCAGUGUAUGUUGCUGUUAUGACUGUUUUGUGCAUUUCUUAAUAUUAUUACGUAUUAGCUCACUUAUGUAUAUAACAUAACACCACAGGCUUAGCCACGUAUUUAAUAUCUUAAUUCAGAUUUGAUCUCUUGCAUUUCUGUAUGUCAGAACUUCAACCAGACUAUAAUCAACAUAUUAGCAAUACUAUUUUCCCUUCUGGAGGGUCUACGGGAGUAUCUGUGCCUUGCUUUGUGAAAUUUCAGAAGCUGACAGCAUUGGCCUCCUGUGUUCAUAUUCAAACCAACCAUGUAGAAUCUCUCUGACGCAUUCCAUUUUCAUAACUAUUUAUGAUUCAAUUUGGGAAAUGUUCUCUGUUUUUAAGGACUCAUAUCAUAACACUGAGCCACUGGAUAAGCCAGGAUAAAUCUCCUCAACUCAAGUACCUUAAUCUAAGCACAUCUGCAAAGCUCCAUUUACCAUAUAGGCCAUAGAUUCACAGGUUAAGGGGUUUGAGAUUGAGAUGUAGGUAUUUUUAGUGAGCCAUUAUUCUGAAUACUAAACAUUAGUAUCAAUUUUACCAUAUUUAUUAGGAAUAAAAUUACAGUGAUGGGGCACCUAGGUGGCUCAGUUGGUUAAGCAUCCGACUCUUGAUUUUGGCUCAGGUC